GAGCUUGUGCCUGUGUCAGUGAGCUUGUCUGUAGGGAUCGUGUGUGUCAGUGAGCUUGUCUGUAGGGAGCAUGUGUGUGCAGUGAGCUUGUCUGUAGUAAGCAUGUGUGUGACCGUAAACUUGCCUGCAGUGACCGUGUGUGCCAGUAAAUUUAUCUGUAGUGAGCAUGUGUGUGUCAGUGAGCUUGUCUGUACUAGGCUUGUGUGUGUAUCAGAGUUUGU